rnacentral:rRNA from 1 species
UACAGAGGGGGCAAGCGUUGUUCGGAAUUACUGGGCGUAAAGGGCGCGUAGGCGGCCUGUUAAGUCGAACGUGAAAUCCCCGGGCUCAACCCGGGAACUGCGCCCGAUACUGGCAGGCUUGAAUCCGGGAGAGGGAUGUGGAAUUCCAGGUGUAGCGGUGAAAUGCGUAGAUAUCUGGAGGAACACCGGUGGCGAAGGCGACAUCCUGGACCGGUAUUGACGCUGAGGCGCGGAAAGCCAGGG